rnacentral:rRNA from 1 species
ACGUAGGGGGCAAGCGUUAUCCGGAUUUAUUGGGCGUAAAGCGUGUGUAGGCGGUUUGUUAAGUUUAAGAUUAAAGCCUGGGGCUCAACUCCAGUUCGUCUUAAAAACUGGCAGACUAGAGUACGGUAGAGGCAAACGGAAUUUCUAGUGUAGCGGUGAAAUGCGUAGAUAUUAGAAGGAACACCAGUGGCGAAAGCGGUUUGCUGGGCCGUUACUGACGCUGAGGCACGAAAGCGUGGGGAGCAAAUAG